rnacentral:rRNA from 1 species
UGCGCGGGAUGUUCAUUCAAAUAUCUGCCCUAUCAACUUUCGAUGGUAGGAUAGAGGCUACCAUGGUUUUGACGGGUAACGGGAAUAGGGUCGAUUCCGGAGAGGGAGCCUGAGAACGGUACCAUAUUCCACGGAAGGCAGCAGGCGCGCAAUUACCCAAUCCCGACACGGGGAGGUAGUGACAAUAAAUAACAAUAUAGGGCCCUUUCGGGUCUAUAAUUGGAAUGAGUACAAUUUAAACCCCUUAACGAGGAACAAUUGGAGGGCAAGUCUGGUGCCAGCAGCCGGGUAAUUCCAGCUCCAAUAGCGGUAUAUUAAAGUUGUUGCAGUUAAAAAGCUCGUAGUUGAACUUCGAACCUGGUUGGGUGGUCUGCCUUCACGGUACGUACUGCUUGGCCGGGUUCUACCUCUUGGUGAGCCGGCAUGCCCUUUACUGGGUGUGUCGGGGAACCAGGACUUUUACCUUGAGAAAAUUAGAGUGUUCAAAGCAGGCCUUUGCCCGAAUACAUUAGCAUGGAUAAUAAAAUAGGACGUGCGGUUCUAU